UUCACUUUACCGAGGACAUGACUCUAGAUAGGAAGGAGUGGAGGUCUCGUAUUAAGGUUGUAGGUUAGUAGGGCUAGCGUGUUGUCUUCCCUUGCAAGGGUAUGGGUUGUUAGCAUUUGGAGUAGACCUAGCCUUAUGUUGUUUACUGCGUUUCACGCAUCGCAUUACUUUCUUGUUGUUACUGUCUCAUUUGUUGAUUAUACGCUAUCGUUUGUAUUGGCUGUUAUGUUUUAUAUAUAUCUCUCCUGUCACUUAGAUUUGUUAUUCUUGAGCUGAGGGUCUCCCGGAAACAGCCUCUCUACCUCCACGAGGUAGUGGCAAGGUCUGUGUACAAUUUACCCUCCCCAGACCCCACCUAGUGGGAUCUCA
rnacentral:lncRNA from 1 species